rnacentral:lncRNA from 1 species
UUAGCAUACAUUUAAAACCCUAACCUAGGUUGUGUAGCUCUGCUAUCUUAAAUGUCUAUCUGCGGACUAUAUGAAUCCAGCUCCUCUAUUAAAAGGGCCUCGGUGUGCGUUAUUCGCAUGAAUCGAAGAAAAGAACCUGAGAUAACUAGUAUACCUCCCAAAAUACAAAGUGUGACAUCAUGCACACGAUCACUAUGACCAAACCUCACAUCGGUAAAUAUGAGUUUCCAGUAUUGAUUCCCCCGGAACAUCCACCUUCCAUGACUUUGCUAACACAACC